rfam:Hordeum vulgare subsp. vulgare, WGS project CAJW01000000 data, contig: morex_contig_1579714
AUCGUACUACCUUCGUCCGGAAAUAAUUAUCCUAAAGAUAAAUGUAUCUAGACUUAUUUUAGUUAUAGAUACAUUCAUUAUAUUCAUUUUUAAAACAAGUAUUUCCGGAUGGAGGGAGUAUUUC